CGGGAAAAGCUCAAAUUUAAAAUCUGGUGGUCUUUGGCUGCCCGAGUUGUAAUCUAGAGAAGCAUUAUCCGCACUGGACCAUGUAUAAGUCUCCUGGAAUGGAGCGUCAUAGAGGGUG
rnacentral:rRNA from 1 species